ensembl:lncRNA
UUUUUUUUUUUUUUAAUUCCUUGUUUUCUGACUGUAUGAUUAAUGUAAGUAAAUAAGUAAUCACCAGAUGGAAUGAAAUUCUGCUUCACGAACUUACUAAGUGCUGCAAUUAAAGUAACUUGAAAUAGUAACAUGAUUAGACUAUACACAAAUUAGUCAUUUUCACCAUUAAUGAAUGAGUCCAAAAGAUGCCCCCUUAAGAACUUAAACCACUCUGGAUUUAAAUAAAGGUAGAUGAUACAUGAAAGGUUAUGUUAAUGGAUUACUCUCUCAUUUAAUCUUUACAAUACCAGCAAUCCUAACACAUACUUUUGUAUCAUAUAAUAAUACAGUUAUCAUAUAAUAGUUUUGCAUUUUUUUUCUGUAAGAUUCAAUAUAUUCGAUGGCAUCUGACAAGCAUGUAUCAGUGAUAUGACAUGUACUUCAGCUGUGAGCUGGUGCUUAAUACUGGUAAUGAUGCAGGUAAAGGACAUCUUUGUCAUUUUGCAGAUGAUCUCAAAAGUAAAAUUCUGCAUUCCUAAUUUGGAUGUUCUUAUAAACCAUUUUGGUUCUGUCUUUGAUUAGUUGCCUCUCCUACCCUAAAUGCUGGAAGUUUCAGGCACAAAUGAUUUAUUAUUAUUAUUAUUUUUAAUAUCUCUCAUGUCAUAGACUCUGACUACUGUUCAAUGCCGGAAAACCUUUCAGGGCUCCACAGCAAGAACAUAAAGCUAUAGGCAAACCUAGGGCAUGGCUUAGAAUACUCAAGAGAAAAAAUAACUGCACUACUAUGGGCCCAUUUUGAGAGUAGUCAUCAAUAGUAUUUCCAAUAUUUUCUGUAGAGAUAACUUUUAGUUUUAUAUAGGUUUUGUACAACUUUCACUAAUUCCCUGCUGAUAUCCUUACAUGCAGUACAAAAUGUGCAGUCAUCCAAAUUAUUGAGAGGAGAUUCACAGUGAUCCAAGUUUUGUCUUGUUCUGUCAAGAAAUAUUCUCUUUCUCUAUUUAUAGAAUAUGAGACAAUCUACAGCAAAUAAGCUAUUGUACCUGUAGUCCCAGAUAAUUGAAAUGUGGGUGGCUAAUAUGCCCAUAUUGCGGAAGAAAAAUUUAGGUUAUGCUAGAAAUACAAUGCAAAAUAUUCUGGGCACUGUCCUUGUUGCUCAAGUACAAACCAAGGGGAAAGAAUUGUUUCUUUCUAAAUAACUCUAGCUUGGUGGUAUCUACCUCUGCUCAAGCCUUUCUCAGAAAGAGCCCAUGACCAUUUCCUACAGAUCUGAGAAAUGUGUUUAGGAAUAACAAGUAGUGUAACAAACAGAAUAUGACCAGGCUCUUUAGAAUUAGUGUUGAAGUCCUACUGCCCUCACUUCAGGAUCACUUCAUAUGGUUCCAUGAACCUAAUAUCUGUUUGAGAAUGGAGUACUGACGUCAGUAUCCAGACAAUAUAUCUCAGCUUAGUGUUCUCCAAAAGAAAGCUAGUUCUUGCCCAUGAGAAGACAUUAACACUGUGUUAAACAUAGCACAGUAAGUGGAGAUAAUCAGGAGAGUAACUUCAGAAACACAGUCCUGAUCUGAAGACAUUUAUGUAGAUGUCCACUUGAAAAUAUGUUGCAUCCAAUUUUUCUCAGUUUAUCUUUUUUAGAUAACCUCUUCAAGACUGUGGUAUUAUCAGUACCAAUAAGAAGUGUUUUACUACACUGGGAAACAUCAAUUUGCUUAUUUAUGGGAAAAAGCUAUGUAAUUUACAUAUUAUCUGACUCCAUCUCAAUUCCUUUAAUGAUAAGGAGUCUUCCAGUAAUAUCAUUUAGCAAAGAGGCUUGAGAUGUUGUCCAGACAAAGAUGUUAGGUUUAUUAGCUGAAAUGAGAAAUAUAUGCCAUGCUAAGUAUGUUUUUGUGAUGGUGACAGAAUUCUACUGAUCACAGGAUCUCCUAAAAGAGACUUUUUUCAUUUGCAUCAACCAUCCUUCCUUUCAGUCAUAGGAGACAUACAUAUUCCAGAGAUGAUACCAAAAAUUAGCCCAUUAAGCAGUUAAAAAAACAAACAAAAAUAAAAUAUAUCUCAGAAAAGCUUAAAGCUGCCACCACCACCUUAAGGAAUGAGCUCUUUCAAGAUGCAUAGCAGAAAUUUUCUUUCAUCUCAAAAACAUGAAGUUUAACAGGCAACUUUUAAGUACACUGUGACACACUUUUCUAUUGUAUUGUGAAACAUCUGAAUAUUGCACAACACUAGACUGAAGUGAGCAUUAUCAGCUUGUUACUUACAAACAGGAAAACUAAGAGAGAUUAAAUGCCCUACACAGUUUUGCUGUGCAAUAGCAGCAUAAGCAGCCUCUGAGCCGAGUCCUUCAGUCUACCCUAAUCACCAUGUCAAAUGACGGCUUUCCCUCUUUUUUUUUUUUAAGUUCCAAAUAUUUUUUAAGGAAAUCAACUGACUUUGUUGUUUGUUUCUUUAUAUGCUAUCCUUAUUGUUUGAGUUGCUCUUGCAGUUUGGAAAAUAAAGAUAUUUCAAGCUGCAUUUAUUCAUUUCCAUUAAAUAACCUUGACUUCUCAGGGCUUCAUCUCGUAAUGAAUAAAGGCAUUAUUUGUGCUUUCUCUUAACAUCUCCAUUCACACAUUUUGGUAUGGAGUACUUUUACUGAUAACAAUACAUUUCUGGAAAUCAGACUGCUUGUCACUAAAUUCAGGCUCACAUUCAGGAAAAUAUGUCUAAAAUGGGGUGGGGGGAAAUGGCAUUACAGCAAUAAAACAAUUAAAUAUUUGUCUAAAUUCAUAAGA